GGGGUCAUAUCCCGGGGCUCAACCCCCGUCCGCCCCCCGAACCCCGCGGCUCGGGUCCGGUAGGGGAGGGUGGAACACCCGGUGUAGCGGUGGAAUGCGAAGAUAUCGGGUGGAACACCGGUGGCGAAGGCGGCCCUCUGGGCCGAGACCGACGCUGAGGCGCGAAAGCUGGGGGAGCGAACA
rnacentral:rRNA from 1 species